CCUACGGGUGACAGCAGUGGGGAAUAUUGGGCAAUGGGCGCAAGCCUGACCCAGCAACGCCGCGUGAAGGAAGAAGGCUUUCGGGUUGUAAACUUCUUUUCUGAGGGACGAAGAAAGUGACGGUACCUCAGGAAUAAGCCACGGCUAACUACGUGCCAGCAGCCGCUGGAAUACAUAGGUGGCAAGCGUUAGCCGGAUUUAUUGUGUUUAAAGGGCGUGUAGGCGGGAAAGCAAGUCAGAUGUGAAAACUCAGGGCUCAACCCUGAGCCUGCAUUUGAAACUGUUUUUCUUGAGUGCUGGAGAGGCAAUCGGAAGUCCGUGUGUAGCGGUGAAAUGCGUAGAUAUACGGAGGAACACCAGUGGCGAAGGCGGAUUGCUGGACAGUAACUGACGCUGAGGCGCGAAAGCGUGGGAAGCAAACAGGAUUAGAUACCCCAGUAGUC
rnacentral:rRNA from 1 species